AUUGAACGCUGGCGGCAGGCCUAACACAUGCAAGUCGAGCGGAUGAAGGGAGCUUGCUCCUGGAUUCAGCGGCGGACGGGUGAGUAAUGCCUAGGAAUCUGCCUGGUAGUGGGGGAUAACGUCCGGAAACGGGCGCUAAUACCGCAUACGUCCUGAGGGAGAAAGUGGGGGAUCUUCGGACCUCACGCUAUCAGAUGAGCCUAGGACGGAUUAGCUAGUUGGUGGGGUAAAGGCCUACCAAGGCGACGAUCCGAAACUGAUCUGAGAGGAUGAUACGUCACACUGGAACUGUGACACGGUCCAGACUCCUACGGGAGGCAGCAGUGGGGAAUAUUGUACAAUGGGCGAGAGCCUGAUCCAGCCAUGCCGCGUGUGUGAAGAAGGUCUUCGGAUUGUAAAGCACUUUAAGUUGGGAGGAAGGGCAGUAAGUUAAUACCUUGCUGUUUUGACGUUACCAACAGAAUAAGCACCGGCUAACUUCGUG
rnacentral:rRNA from 1 species